AUAAAUGAGGAAUAACUUUCAAUUCAGUUUACUCAAAGCUCGCACAAGAGAUUCAAGUAGAAAAUAAAUAGUUUGGUCAACAAAACAAUAGUGGAUGGAUUACAAACUCAGACAGAUCAGCAUAGAUAUAAUCACUACCGAAGCAGAGACGGAUUAUAAAUGAGGAAUAACUUUCAAUACAGUUUACUCAAAGCUCGCACAAGAGAUUCAAGUAGAAAAUAAAUAGUUUGGUCAACAAAACAAUAGUGGAUGGAUUACAAACUCAGACAGAUCAGCAUAGAUAUAAUCACUACCGAAGCAGAGACGGAUUAUAAAUGAGGAAUAACUUUCAAUACAGUUUACUCAAAGCUCGCACAAGAGAUUCAAGUAGAAAAUAAAUAGUUUGGUCAACAAAACAAUAGUGGAUGGAUUACAAACUCAGACAGAUCAGCAUAGAUAUAAUCACUACCGAAGCAGAGACGGAUUAUAAAUGAGGAAUAACUUUCAAUACAGUUUACUCAAAGCUCGCACAAGAGAUUCAAGUAGAAAAUAAAUAGUUUGGUCAACAAAACAAUAGUGGAUGGAUUACAAACUCAGACAGAUCAGCAUAGAUAUAAUCACUACCGAAGCAGAGACGGAUUAUAAAUGAGGAAUAACUUUCAAUACAGUUUACUCAAAGCUCGCACAAGAGAUUCAAGUAGAAAAUAAAUAGUUUGGUCAACAAAACAAUAGUGGAUGGAUUACAAACUCAGACAGAUCAGCA